GAUGAAGAACGCAGCGAAAUGCGAUAAGUAGUGUGAAUUGCAGAAUUCAGUGAAUCAUCGAAUCUUUGAACGCACAUUGCGCCCCUCGGUAUUCCGCAGGGCAUGCCUGUUCGAGCGUCAUUUCAACCCUCAAGCCCCGCUUGGUGUUGGGCCCCGCCCGCCGUGGCCGGCCCUAAAGACAGUGGCGGCGCCGCCUGGCCCUCAGCGUAGUACAGCUCUCGCUCCAGGGUCCGGCGGCCGCCUGCCAGAACCCCCCCAACUCUGUGGUUGACCUCGGAUCAGGUAGGGAUACCCGCUGAACUUAAGCAUAUCAAUAAGCGGAGGA
rnacentral:misc_RNA from 1 species